rnacentral:rRNA from 1 species
GAUGAACGCUGGCGGCGUGCCUAAUACAUGCAAGUCGAGCGAACAGACGAGGCGCUUGCUCCUCUGACGUUAGCGGCGGACGGGUGAGUAACACGUGGAUAACCUACCUAUAAGACUGGGAUAACUUCGGGAAACCGGAGCUAAUACCGGAUAAUAUAUUGAACCGCAUGGUUCAAUAGUGAAAGACGGUUUUGCUGUCACUUAUCGAUGGAUCCGCGCCGCAUUAGCUAGUUGGUAAGGUAACGGCUUACCAAGGCGACGAUGCGUAGCCGACCUGAGAGGGUGAUCGGCCACACUGGAACUGAACCACGGACCAGACUCCUGCGGGAGGCAGCAGUAGGGAAUCUUCCGCAAUGGGCGAAAGCCUGACGGAGCAACGCCGCGUGAGUGAUGAAGGUCUUCGGAUCGUAAAACUCUGUUAUUAGGGAAGAACAAAUGUGUAAGUAACUAUGCACGUCUUGACGGUACCUAAUCAGAAAGCCACGGCUAACUACGUG